rnacentral:tRNA from 1 species
AGGCAGCGAAGUAAAAUAUACAUUUAGUUUCGACCUAAAAAUAAGAGAUACUAAAAUCUCCGUACCUA